UACGGGGGGAGCAAGCGUUGUUCGGAUUUACUGGGCGUAAAGGGCGCGUAGGCGGUCAGCACAAGUCAGUUGUGAAAUCUCCGGGCUUAACUCGGAAAGGUCAACUGAUACUGUGCGACUAGAGUGCGGAAGGGGCAACUGGAAUUCUCGGUGUAGCGGUGAAAUGCGUUGAUAUCCACAGGAACUCCGGUGGCGAAGGCGGCGAUCUGGGCAGAUAUUGACGCUGAGGUGCGAAAGCGUGGGGAGCAAACAGG
rnacentral:rRNA from 1 species